rnacentral:rRNA from 1 species
UACGGAGGGGGCUAGCGUUGUUCGGAAUUACUGGGCGUAAAGCGCGCGUAGGCGGUUUUUUAAGUCAGAGGUGAAAGCCUGGAGCUCAACUCCAGAACUGCCUUUGAAACUGGAAGACUUGAAUCAUGGAGAGGUUAGUGGAAUUCCGAGUGUAGAGGUGAAAUUCGUAGAUAUUCGGAAGAACACCAGUGGCGAAGGCGACUAACUGGACAUGUAUUGACGCUGAGGUGCGAAAGCGUGGGGAGCAAACAGG